rnacentral:rRNA from 1 species
CCUACGGGAGGCAGCAGUGGGGAAUAUUGCACAAUGGGCGCAACCCUGAUGCAGCGACGCCGCGUGAGUGAAGAAGUUAUUCGUUAUGUAAAGCUCUAUCAGCAGGGAAGAAAAUGACGGUACCUGAGUAGGAAGCCGAGGCCAACUACGUGCCAGCUGCCGGGGUACUACGCAGGGGGCAAGCGUUAUCCGGAUUUACGGGGUGUAAAGGGAGCGUAGACGGGAGUGCGAGUCUGGCGUGAAAGGCGGGGGGUCAACCCCCGGACUGCUGUGGAAACUGGACGGCUGGAGUGCAGGAGAGGUAAGUGGAAUGCCUGGUGUAGUGGUGAAAUGCGUAGAUAUUACGAGGAACACCAGUGGCGAAGGCGGCAUACUGGCCUGUAACUGACGCUGAGGCACGAAAGCGUGGGGAGCAAACAGGAUUAGAUACCCCAGUAGUC